rnacentral:rRNA from 1 species
UUAAGCGACUAAGCGUACACGGUGGAUGCCCUGGCAGUCAGAGGCGAUGAAGGACGUGCUAAUCUGCGAAAAGCGUCGGUAAGGUGAUAUGAACCGUUAUAACCGGCGAUGUCCGAAUGGGGAAACCCAGUGCAAUUCGUUGCACUAUCGUUAACUGAAUACAUAGGUUAACGAGGCGAACCGGGGGAACUGAAACAUCUAAGUACCCCGAGGAAAAGAAAUCAACCGAGAUUCCCCCAGUAGCGGCGAGCGAACGGGGAGCAGCCCAGAGUCUGAAUCAGCUUGUGUGUUAGUGGAACGGUCUGGAAAGUCCGACGGUACAGGGUGAUAGUCCCGUACACCAAAAUGCACAGGUUGUGAACUCGAAGAGUAGGGCGGGACACGUGGUAUCCUGUCUGAAUAUGGGGGGACCAUCCUCCAAGGCUAAAUACUCCUGACUGACCGAUAGUGAACCAGUACCGUGAGGGAAAGGCGAAAAGAACCCCGGCGAGGGGAGUGAAAAAGAACCUGAAACCGUGUACGUACAAGCAGUGGGAGCACCUUCGGGUGUGACUGCGUACCUUUUGUAUAAUGGGUCAGCGACUUAUAUUCUGUAGCAAGGUUAACCGUAUAGGGGAGCCGCAGGGAAACCGAGUCUUAACUGGGCGUUAAGUUGCAGGGUAUAGACCCGAAACCCGGUGAUCUAGCCAUGGGCAGGUUGAAGGUUGGGUAACACUAACUGGAGGACCGAACCGACUAAUGUUGAAAAAUUAGCGGAUGACUUGUGGCUGGGGGUGAAAGGCCAAUCAAACCGGGAGAUAGCUGGUUCUCCCCGAAAGCUAUUUAGGUAGCGCCUCGUGAAUUCAUCUUCGGGGGUAGAGCACUGUUUCGGCUAGGGGGUCAUCCCGACUUACCAACCCGAUGCAAACUACGAAUACCGAAGAAUGUUAUCACGGGAGACACACGGCGGGUGCUAACGUCCGUCGUGAAGAGGGAAACAACCCAGACCGCCAGCUAAGGUCCCAAAGUCAUGGUUAAGUGGGAAACGAUGUGGGAAGGCACAGACAGCCAGGAUGUUGGCUUAGAAGCAGCCAUCAUUUAAAGAAAGCGUAAUAGCUCACUGGUCGAGUCGGCCUGCGCGGAAGAUGUAACGGGGCUAAACCAUGCACCGAAGCUGCGGCAGCGACACUAUGUGUUGUUGGGUAGGGGAGCGUUCUGUAAGCCUGCGAAGGUGNUGCUGGAGGUAUCAGAAGUGCGAAUGCUGACAUAAGUAACGAUAAAGCGGGUGAAAAGCCCGCUCGCCGGAAGACCAAGGGUUCCUGUCCAACGUUAAUCGGGGCAGGGUGAGUCGACCCCUAAGGCGAGGCCGAAAGGCGUAGUCGAUGGGAAACAGGUUAAUAUUCCUGUACUUGGUGUUACUGCGAAGGGGGGACGGAGAAGGCUAUGUUAGCCGGGCGACGGUUGUCCCGGUUUAAGCAUGUAGGCUGGUUAUCCAGGCAAAUCCGGAUAAUCAAGGCUGAGGUGUGAUGACGAGGCACUACGGUGCUGAAGUAACAAAUGCCCUGCUUCCAGGAAAAGCCUCUAAGCAUCAGGUAACAUCAAAUCGUACCCCAAACCGACACAGGUGGUCAGGUAGAGAAUACCAAGGCGCUUGAGAGAACUCGGGUGAAGGAACUAGGCAAAAUGGUGCCGUAACUUCGGGAGAAGGCACGCUGGUGUGUAGGUGAAGCCCCUGCGGGUGGAGCUGAGACCAGUCGAAGAUACCAGCUGGCUGCAACUGUUUAUUAAAAACACAGCACUGUGCAAACACGAAAGUGGACGUAUACGGUGUGACGCCUGCCCGGUGCCGGAAGGUUAAUUGAUGGGGUUAUCCGUAAGGAGAAGCUCUUGAUCGAAGCCCCGGUAAACGGCGGCCGUAACUAUAACGGUCCUAAGGUAGCGAAAUUCCUUGUCGGGUAAGUUCCGACCUGCACGAAUGGCGUAAUGAUGGCCAGGCUGUCUCCACCCGAGACUCAGUGAAAUUGAACUCGCUGUGAAGAUGCAGUGUACCCGCGGCAAGACGGAAAGACCCCGUGAACCUUUACUAUAGCUUGACACUGAACAUUGAGCCUUGAUGUGUAGGAUAGGUGGGAGGCUUUGAAGCGUGGACGCCAGUCUGCGUGGAGCCAACCUUGAAAUACCACCCUUUAAUGUUUGAUGUUCUAACGUUGGCCCCUUACCGGGGUUGCGGACAGUGUCUGGUGGGUAGUUUGACUGGGGCGGUCUCCUCCCAAAGCGUAACGGAGGAGCACGAAGGUUAGCUAAUCCUGGUCGGACAUCAGGAGGUUAGUGCAAUGGCAUAAGCUAGCUUGACUGCGAGCGUGACGGCGCGAGCAGGUGCGAAAGCAGGUCAUAGUGAUCCGGUGGUUCUGAAUGGAAGGGCCAUCGCUCAACGGAUAAAAGGUACUCCGGGGAUAACAGGCUGAUACCGCCCAAGAGUUCAUAUCGACGGCGGUGUUUGGCACCUCGAUGUCGGCUCAUCACAUCCUGGGGCUGAAGUAGGUCCCAAGGGUAUGGCUGUUCGCCAUUUAAAGUGGUACGCGAGCUGGGUUUAGAACGUCGUGAGACAGUUCGGUCCCUAUCUGCCGUGGGCGCUGGAGAAUUGAGGGGGGCUGCUCCUAGUACGAGAGGACCGGAGUGGACGCAUCACUGGUGUUCGGGUUGUCAUGCCAAUGGCACUGCCCGGUAGCUAAAUGCGGAAGAGAUAAGUGCUGAAAGCAUCUAAGCACGAAACUUGCCCCGAGAUGAGUUCUCCCUGAGACUUUAAGUCUCCUGAAGGAACGUUGAAGACGACGACGUUGAUAGGCCGGGUGUGUAAGCGCAGCGAUGCGUUGAGCUAACCGGUACUAAUGAACCGUGAGGCUUAACCUU